rnacentral:lncRNA from 1 species
UUUCAUUGUCACCAUCAAAGUUGAACUCAAAGUUGAUAGAACAUAGUAAGAGGUACCCUAUAAAUUUUAGGGAAUUUCUUAUCCCACCCUAUGAGGUGGAAAAACACCAUAUAAAAAACCAAAACUUCCCCUCAGAUUCCGGAGAUGCAUCUCUGAACGCACCUUGUCUUAAAUCAAAACGUUAACUAAUCUGGAGAUGCAUCUCCG